GCUUCAGUCGCCUAGUGGUUAGGGCGUCCGCCUCGGAUGUGAUAGGUUGCUGGUUCGAACACCGGCCAAGUC